UGACUCUUUUGGCGAUGUUAGACAUGGCAUCCGAAGCGCGCACACACACAAACAGUAGGCUCCCUCUCGCCACACCCACACAGCAGCAUCGGGUCUAUGCAUGGCGAGGCUACCUUUGCAGGGUGUAUGGCGAGGCUACCUGCUCUGCUGAGGACCGACGCCACAGAUGCAGCUGCCAUAGGCUGGGUGUAUGGCGAGCGGGCUACCUCUGAGUAGAAUCAGGGAAGGACUAUGCGCCGUUGCGCCGCCGGAGCCUCACCUUGCGUCCUGGUUCCAUGUACACUGUUCAUCGACGCAGCAGGAGACCAGCAGCCCGUCAAUUGGACUUGGCCGUUAGCAUGCUGGCAUGGGCUGAAUACACCUACCAACAACCAGCUAGCACAGAGUUCCUAUUCGAUUAUUGAUGGCCUCACCAGCUGUUACAUGCUUGAGUUGUGAACCAACCUUUGGAAGAUUGUUGUGGGGUGUUUAAUUUGGAGCUUCAAGGUGUGGAUACAGGUGCUCUCCGGGUUUUGCUCUUACGUUUUCUUCGGAGAAGCCUAGCUUGCUUUCGCGGCGGCUCAUGCUUCUUCCACGCUCUUCCGGGUAUGACACUUCUUCCACUAUGAAUCCUCGUAUUUCUUAUUGCUGAUUGCGGCUGGUGGAAACCUUUUAUUGCUUCACGUCCAGGUCAACUAUUGCUGAUGAGAUGAGAAAAUAACGUGAGGACAAGCGUUAUGAAUAUUCACAACUAGUGUUCGUUGAAUCUCACCAAGCUAGGAGUCCAGUCCCCGGAUUCUACAUGUAUCUUCUCCAUACAGUCUAUUAUUUGCUUUGACUUCUACUCUCUCCAAUGCAUAAAAAGCGCCGGGCUUUAGUUCAAAUUUAGACUAAAUUUAAAUAAAGCUCCGACAAUUAUUAUGGAUUGGAGAGAGUGCAUUUUUUUUCUUGGAGAGGAGGAAUAUGUGAUAGUUUGGAGCGGGCUGCGGUGCUGGCUUUUAGAAUGGGCCAGCUCUUGUGGCAAGCCCAACUCUGUCUGCUUUUUUAGUGCACCAACACUUUAUUUUUUCUGUACAAGUGGACCAAUUCUUUUUAGUUUUGACAUUUGGACCAACUAUUUCUGCUCGUGUUAUGUCCAACAGUAUGUGUACGAAGUAGAGGUACCUUACUGCCCAUUUGCACGGCCCACAUUAAUAUAACAGCAGACAUGGCGUAUUUUUCUCAAUCUUUUGAUCUGUUUCGGAAAAAAAAUGAUAGGCGCAAUAAAUUUCUGAGUACUAUGAAUCGGAGGGAGCACAUGUUUGAUUAUUCUCCCGUCCUUCUUGUUCUUUUCUAGGCUUGUAGCCUUGUGCGGCACAAUUAGCUUGCUUGGCAGGUGCUCCGGCAUGUCAAGGAGUGCAAAAUAAGACAGCCUAACAAUGUUGCCUGCUUCUCCACGCAAAACAGGCCGACACCUUCGUCACCAAUGCGUCAUCAACCCUAAACCCAUGGAGGCAGCCGCCCAGGCUAAUAAAUUUGACCAAGCGAAGUGAAAAGAGUUCCAGCCAGCUACAAAAAACCCUCCCCAUCUCUUGAUUUUGUUCUUAUCAAAUCCGCCGUAGCAAAAUCAUCCUCUCUCUCUCUCUCUCUCUCUCUCUCUCUCUCUCUCUCUCCUCGCGAAAUCGGCCUCGAUCGUCGCGCAGAUGGGCCGAUUGGCCGUGCGUGGCAAGAACCCUAAGCUGCGCGGGGCUGCGGGAUCGUCACGGAGGGGUGGUGGGCGUCGCGACGUCGACUGGAAGCAGUCAAGGGGAUCCUGGCGUGUCCCCGGCCGGGCCGCCGAUAGGCAGCAGGCGGGCCGAUCCAGGCAUGGCCCCGCCGACGUCGACAAGCAGCCGUCACAGGACGAAAAGGAUGAUGACAAACAAGAGAGUGGUGAGAAGGACAACCAUCUGUCUCCGCCUGUAAGUCCAGGGCCACCGCUUACAUGGAAGAGGCAGCCAUUUUGCUGAUGGAUGAUAUUCUUUUGUGUGCAUGUUUUUCUUGUCCGACCCUAUUUAUGUUAUUCAAGUGUUGUAACGUGGACCAUAAAUACAUGAGAACUAUGUCAUCUAAAUUAUUCCAUUGAAAACUUUUUCCAAAUACUAAAAAUUUAGUUGUAUGUUUAA